UAACACAUAAGCAGUCAGUUGGUAGAGCGCGACACUAGUAAACAUUACUGAAAUGUCGAGGUCUACAGUUCGACUCUGUAUGAGGGCA